GGAACAGAUCCUAGCUAUUUCCAGCACAGAGCAUCUUGGAGUCAACAGUUGAAGAAAUGAAUUAGUACACCUCUUCCCUGUGCCUGAAAUUCAUUACUUUUCCUUAAUAAGGAAACUUAUAUUCCAGAGAAAAUUGGCCACUGAAAGCAGAAGACUGCCUAGAACCAAAGGCUAUUCAGCCGGGGAAAGCUAAUCAUUCAAGGUCCAAGCCACUUCAAUUUUGUCACGUGAAUUGCUGUAUCAUAUCUGUUUGAAGUCUGAAUCUGCACGUUUAUAAUUUUGUGGCUUCUUUGUGACACGUCCUUGG